rnacentral:tRNA from 9 species
CGGGAUGUAGCGCAGCUUGGUAGCGCACCUCGUUCGGGACGAGGGAGCCGCAGGUUCAAAUCCUGUCAUCCCGA